rnacentral:rRNA from 1 species
CACAUGCAAGUCGAACGAGAAUCUGAUGAAGGAGUUUUCGGACAACUGAUUCAGAGGAAAGUGGCGGACGGGUGAGUAACGCGUGAGGAACCUGCCUUGAAGAGGGGGACAACAGUUGGAAACGACUGCUAAUACCGCAUGAAGCAUAGAGGUCGCAUGAUCUUUAUGCCAAAGAUUUAUCGCUUCAAGAUGGCCUCGCGUCUGAUUAGCUAGUUGGCGGGGUAACGGCCCACCAAGGCGACGAUCAGUAGCCGGACUGAGAGGUUGAACGGCCACAUUGGGACUGAGAUACGGCCCAGACUCCUACGGGAGGCAGCAGUGGGGAAUAUUGGGCAAUGGGCGCAAGCCUGACCCAGCAACGCCGCGUGAAGGAAGAAGGCUUUCGGGUUGUAAACUUCUUUUAAGAGGGAAGAGCAGAAGACGGUACCUCUAGAAUAAGCCACGGCUAACUACGUGCCAGCAGCCGCGGUAAUACGUAGGUGGCAAGCGUUGUCCGGAUUUACUGGGUGUAAAGGGCGUGCAGCCGGGUCUGCAAGUCAGAUGUGAAAUCCAUGGGCUCAACCCAUGAACUGCAUUUGAAACUGUAGAUCUUGAGUGUCGGAGGGGCAAUCGGAAUUCCUAGUGUAGCGGUGAAAUGCGUAGAUAUUAGGAGGAACACCAGUGGCGAAGGCGGAUUGCUGGACGAUAACUGACGGUGAGGCGCGAAAGUGUGGGGAGCAAACAGGAUUAGAUACCCUGGUAGUCCACACUGUAAACGAUGAAUACUAGGUGUGCGGGGACUGACCCCCUGCGUGCCGCAGUAAACACAAUAAGUAUUCCACCUGGGGAGUACGAUCGCAAGGUUGAAACUCA